rnacentral:rRNA from 1 species
AGCUUGCUGGGUGGAUUAGUGGCGAACGGGUGAGUAACACGUGAGUAACCUGCCCCUGACUCUGGGAUAAGCGUUGGAAACGACGUCUAAUACUGGAUAUGAUCACUGGCCGCAUGGUCUGGUGGUGGAAAGAUUUUUUGGUUGGGGAUGGACUCGCGGCCUAUCAGCUUGUUGGUGAGGUAAUGGCUCACCAAGGCGACGACGGGUAGCCGGCCUGAGAGGGUGACCGGCCACACUGGGACUGAGACACGGCCCAGACUCCUACGGGAGGCAGCAGUGGGGAAUAUUGCACAAUGGGCGAAAGCCUGAUGCAGCAACGCCGCGUGAGGGAUGACGGCCUUCGGGUUGUAAACCUCUUUUAGUAGGGAAGAAGCGAAAGUGACGGUACCUGCAGAAAAAGCACCGGCUAACUACGUGCCAGCAGCCGCGGUAAUACGUAGGGUGCAAGCGUUGUCCGGAAUUAUUGGGCGUAAAGAGCUCGUAGGCGGUUUGUCGCGUCUGCUGUGAAAUCCCGAGGCUCAACCUCGGGCUUGCAGUGGGUACGGGCAGACUAGAGUGCGGUAGGGGAGAUUGGAAUUCCUGGUGUAGCGGUGGAAUGCGCAGAUAUCAGGAGGAACACCGAUGGCGAAGGCAGAUCUCUGGGCCGUAACUGACGCUGAGGAGCGAAAGCAUGGGGAGCGAACAGGAUUAGAUACCCUGGUAGUCCAUGCCGUAAACGUUGGGCGCUAGAUGUAGGGACCUUUCCACGGUUUCUGUGUCGUAGCUAACGCAUUAAGCGCCCCGCCUGGGGAGUACGGCCGCAAGGCUAAAACUCAAAGGAAUUGACGGGGGCCCGCACAAGCGGCGGAGCAUGCGGAUUAAUUCGAUGCAACGCGAAGAACCUUACCAAGGCUUGACAUACACCGGAAACGGCCAGAGAUGGUCGCCCCCUUGUGGUCGGUGUACAGGUGGUGCAUGGUUGUCGUCAGCUCGUGUCGUGAGAUGUUGGGUUAAGUCCCGCAACGAGCGCAACCCUCGUUCUAUGUUGCCAGCGGGUUAUGCCGGGGACUCAUAGGAGACUGCCGGGGUCAACUCGGAGGAAGGUGGGGAUGACGUCAAAUCAUCAUGCCCCUUAUGUCUUGGGCUUCACGCAUGCUACAAUGGCCGGUACAAAGGGCUGCGAUACCGUAAGGUGGAGCGAAUCCCAAAAAGCCGGUCUCAGUUCGGAUUGAGGUCUGCAACUCGACCUCAUGAAGUCGGAGUCGCUAGUAAUCGCAGAUCAGCAACGCUGCGGUGAAUACGUUCCCGGGCCUUGUACACACCGCCCGUCAAGUCAUGAAAGUCGGUAACACCCGAAGCCGGUGGCCUAACCCUUGUGGA